rnacentral:rRNA from 1 species
UAGGGAAUAUUGGACAAUGGGUGAGAGCCUGAUCCAGCCAUGCCGCGUGCAGGAAGAAGGCGUUAUGCGUUGUAAACUGCUUUUGCCAGGGGAUAAAAAGACCGUGCGCGGUUAAUUGAAGGUACCUGGUGAAUAAGCCACGGCUAACUACGUGCCAGCAGCCGCGGUAAUACGUAGGUGGCAAGCGUUGUCCGGAUUUAUUGGGUUUAAAGGGUGCGUAGGUGGCCCUGUAAGUCAGUGGUGAAAUAUCUCAGCUUAACUGAGAGGGUGCCAUUGAUACUGCAGGGCUUGAGUACAGAUGAGGUAGGCGGAAUUGACGGUGUAGCGGUGAAAUGCAUAGAUAUCGUCAAGAACACCGAUAGCGAAGGCAGCUUACCAAGCUGUAACUGACACUGAGGCACGAAAGUGUGGGGAUCAAACAGGAUUAGAUACCCCUGUAGUCCCUGAGCGGGCUGGCAAGGCGCAU